CAGCAAGAGAGGACACAUGCCACCAGCAUCCUCGGGCUGGAGAGAUGGCUCAGAGGUUAAGAGCACUGACUGCUCUUCCAGAGGUCCUGAGUUCAAUUCCCGGCAAUCACAUGGUGGCUCACAAUCACCCGUUAUGAAACCCGGUGCCCUCUUCUGGUGUGCAGACAUACAUGGAUACAUAAUAAAUAAAUAAAAUAAAAUAAAUUUUUAAAAGAUUUUUUCUUUUGGUUCUUUCCUCCCCACCACCCACCCCUCACCCUGCCCCAUCUUUAGUGAGUGUUCUUUUUACUUUUGCUUUUUUACUUAAUUUUUUUCAUACAAUAUACUUUUAUCAUGUUUCCCCUCCCGGAACCCCUUCCAGAUCCUCCUCACCUCCCUACCCAACCCUUCAUGUACACUCUUUUUCUCAAAAAAAAAAAAAAAAAAAAAAAAAAAAAAAAAAAAAAACCUCAAAAAUCAAAAUCAAAGCAAGCAAAUAAAUAACAAUAAGACAAAAUGUCAUAAUGAAACAAAAAUCCCACAGAAAAACAAAAAACUUGGAGUCCAUUUUGUGUUGGCCAACUACUCCUGGGCUUGGGGUGGGAGUGAUACGACAUUCCAUUGGAGAAAACUGAUUUUCCUGUUCCUAGCAGGUAGCAAUUGCAAAUGGAAUCUUGGUUAUGGAUGGAACUUUGCAUCUACUUCUGCUUUUCAGUGGUGGGCUUGAACUGGUGCAGGUCUUGCAGGUGCAAUUGCAGUUUUUGAGUUCAUAUUUACCUCCAUCUUGUGUCUGGAAGACUGUUUCCUUGGAAUCACUUCCACUUUCCUGCUUCCCUUGGAGUCCACCACUUCCUGCUAAUACAAUCUGUCUGCCUCCUCCUCCGAAUAGAUCCCUGAUCCUGGGCGGGUGGAGCAUGAUAAAGACAUCCCAUUUAAGACCAAGUGGUCCAAAACCUCUCACUCUCUGCUCAUGGUCUAGCUGUGGGUUUCUGUGUUAAUUGUGGGAAGGUUUUCAAUGACAGAUCACUAAGGGUGUGUGUGUGUGUGUGUGUGUGUGUGUGUGUGUGUGUGUGUGUGUGUGUGUCUUAAACCUGGAGCCUCACACGUGGCCUCAGCAUUGUUUUCCUAAGCUACAUCACCACCAGUCUGCCUGAUUUUAUUUUUUUUUUUGAGGUGGGGGAUCUUGCUAUACUGUCCUGGCUGGUCUAGAACUCCCAAACUCAAGUGAACCUCCACCUAAUCCUCAAAGUAGCUGGAACUAUAAGCACAGGUUCUGUGUAGCCCAGGAUGAUUAGGGACUUUCAUCCCAAGUGCUGAGAUUAACAGACAUGCUCCACAGUGCCUGGCUUGUUCUUAGCGUUAUUUACAGUUUAGGAUGAAUUCUAUUUUAGGAAACAGCCUGUGUGCCCUUGUAAAGCAUGACUAAUCCAUACGCAUCAAUUGGGUGGGGCUGGUAAGAGAAGUCCAAACCCUCUAAAUUGUUACUGGAUUGGAUCUCACAUUCUCUCAGUUCCAGAAAAGGGGUUUCUUAAAAAUCUCUACCAUGGCCACAGACCAGAAACAACCCCAAAACCCUAUGGAAGAUGGAUGGUUAAAUAAAUCCAGUAUCACACACACACACAGGAUGUGGUAGAGCACUCCCCUACCACACACAAGGUCCUGGGUUCAAAGCCUCAGAACAACAACCCAUAUACCUAGUGUUCUCUGUUAGAAGUGGAGCUUGUCUUUUGAAGCCUCAUUCUCCUGCAUCCUAAUAUCCCAGCCUUGUCUAAUACGCUUUAUUAAAAAAAAUAAGUAAAAAUGCAGUACCCCCAACAACAGAAGACUUCUCAACAGUAAAUUAGAGCUAGCAUUGAACAUGACUUGACUGUUUCUUGGGUGCAUUACAUGAAAGACGCCAAACCCAGAAAUGUUCAUCUGCACAACUCUUCUUAAGUGAUG
ensembl:lncRNA